GCUGCUCCAGCGGGUUGGACCCGGCGAUGCCGCUGCCGUCGACGGCGGGGUGGCUGAUGCCGUCGCGGUAGCCGAACGGUUCGGUCUCGGUGGGCAGGGC
rnacentral:tRNA from 1 species